GACGAACGCUGGCGGCGUGCUUAACACAUGCAAGUCGAACGGAAAGGCCCUGCUUUUGUGGGGUGCUCGAGUGGCGAACGGGUGAGUAACACGUGAGUAACCUGCCCUUGACUUUGGGAUAACUUCAGGAAACUGGGGCUAAUACCGGAUAGGAGCUCCUGCUGCAUGGUGGGGGUUGGAAAGUUUCGGCUGUUGGGGAUGGACUCGCGGCUUAUCAGCUUGUUGGUGGGGUAGUGGCUUACCAAGGCUUUGACGGGUAGCCGGCCUGAGAGGGUGAACGGCCACAUGGGGACUGAGAGACGGACCAGACUCCUACGGGAGGCAGCAGGGGGGAAUAUUGCACAAUGGGCGGAAGCCUGAGGCAGCAACGCCGCGUGCGGGAAGACGGCCUUCGGGUGGUAAACCGCUUUCGCCUGUGACGAAGCGUGAGUGACGGUAAUGGGUAAAGAAGCACCGGCUAACUACGUG
rnacentral:rRNA from 1 species